UGUGACAAACAAACUAACACAAAAACAGGAAGGGGGCAAACACGUUUUCAUGCCACUGUAUUUCAGGUCAGUAGGGCAGUGUGAGCUCUUGUUGGCAGAGUCUGGAUCACAUCUGAAGAGGCAGAGGAAUCUUUUCAGUGAACAGCUGGACACAUCAGUGUCUUUUUUCAAGCACAAAAUAUUCACCCAAAUUUUGUGUUCAGUAUGUAAAGGCCUUAACUUUUUAACACAAUCUGUAGAACUGUUUUACUAAGGAUUGAAGUGAAACAGUGUUGUGUUGAUUUACUUUUGUUAUUUAUUGCAGGCUGAUGAACUCUCUGCAGAAUGUGUCAAGUAGACAAGAAAUGACUCAAGAAAAGGAAAUGGUGACUGUAACAAGAGCAGAGAUCAAAUGUGGAAAGGGGUAAUUCACAUUUACUGCUUUUUGUUUUGUACUGUUAUGUCUAUAAAACAUCAUCUUUCAAUGAAGCACUGAGACAAUUUAUUCUCCUUUCAGAUAGUUGGAGAUUGUUCUACUGUGUGGAUUGUGACUGACAUUAAUCGAGCAGCAUCAGUGAAAGCAGCCUGGGAGAUCCUGGAAAGUGUUAGUAGCCUCACUGGAAAUGAUGGCGAAUGUCAGCAAAUUCACUUUAUCUUCACCAAGUCUGAUCUUCUUCAUGAUUUAGAUGAUCUGUUGCUGGGCCUAAGCAGAGAAGCCCAGACCUUCCUCUCCCCAACACCCUCCUCCAGCAUAUCUGGCAAUCCCAGGCAAAUUGAGAAAUGUAAUUUCUCCAGCAGGUUCUGGGAGGCCCUGAGGCCGAACCUGGGGCCUGGACACAAACGGGACAUUCAAAAGGAACUGCUCAUUGGAACAAACAGUCUGGUUUCAAACAUUUCUGCCAUGUUGUUUUGCCUGCCACUCCAAAAUGUUGUUUGUGAAAUUUGACUGUGAUUUUAUGACUCUUAUAUAUUGGGAUUCUAGACUUUUAUUUCUGUAGGAUGUUUUUCCCUUUUAAUGAUUUGAAUCCUGAGGCAGACAGAAAGCUGGAGGAGAGAAAGAAAUGCAAAAGUCCUGGGUUGAACUUAAACCAGGGAUGGUCUUUUUUUAAUUAUUAUUAUUUUUCUUUAUAUAGAAGUCUAACCAUUACAUCAUUUUCAAAGUUGUAUGCCAAUGCUUUUACUUAAUUUAGCUUUGGCUUGUUAGGAUGACAUCAGUGAUUUUUCUUUAACUGUGCAACACUUGAAUAGCACAAAAUUAUCUUGAAUGAAU
ensembl:lncRNA